rnacentral:rRNA from 1 species
AUUGAACGCUAGCGGGAUGCUUUACACAUGCAAGUCGAACGAGUGGCGGACGGGUGAGUAAUAUAUCGGAAAGUGCCUGGUAGAGGGGGAUAACUACUCGAAAGAGUGGCUAAUACCGCAUACUUUUGGAGCGGCCGAUAUCGGAUUAGAUAGGUGGUGGGGUAAAGGCUCACCAAGGCAACGAACCGUAGCUGGUUUGAGAGGAUGACCAGCCACACUUGGACUGAGACACGGCCCAGACUCCGACGGGAGGCAGCAGUGGGGAAUAUUGGACAAUGGGGGAAACCCUGAUCCAGCCAUGCCGCGUGUAUGAGAAGGCCUUCGGGUUGUAAAGUACUUUAGGCAGAGAAGCGGUAUCUGCAGAAUAAGCACCGGCUAACUACGUGCCAGCAGCCGCGGUAAUUC